GCAGGAUCAGGCAUGGCUCUAGGAAUUUUGCAGCCCCAAGCACGGCAGGCGUGCUGCCUUCCGCGGCUUCCCUGCAGAUGGUCCUCUGGUCCCACGGCUUUGGCA